UACGUAGGGGGCAAGCGUUGUCCGGAAUCAUUGGGCGUAAAGCGAGUGUAGGCGGUGUGGUAAGUCGGAUGUGAAAGCCCCGGGCUCAACCCGGGAAGUGCACUCGAUACUGCCACGCUAGAGUAUCGGAGAGGUUGGUGGAAUUCUCGGUGUAGAGGUGAAAUUCGUAGAUAUCGAGAGGAACACCGGUGGCGAAGGCGGCCAACUGGACGAAUACUGACGCUGAGACUCGAAAGCGUGGGGAGCAAACAGG
rnacentral:rRNA from 1 species